UACGAAGGGGGCUAGCGUUGCUCGGAAUCACUGGGCGUAAAGCGCACGUAGGCGGCUUUCUAAGUCAGGGGUGAAAUCCUGGAGCUCAACUCCAGAACUGCCUUUGAUACUGGAAAGCUCGAGUCCGGGAGAGGUGAGUGGAACUCCGAGUGUAGAGGUGAAAUUCGUAGAUAUUCGGAAGAACACCAGUGGCGAAGGCGGCUCACUGGCCCGGUACUGACGCUGAGGUGCGAAAGCGUGGGGAGCAAACAGG
rnacentral:rRNA from 1 species